rnacentral:rRNA from 1 species
AGUACUCGAGUGGCGAACGGGUGAGUAACACGUGGGUAAUCUGCCCUGCACUCUGGGAUAAGCCUGGGAAACUGGGUCUAAUACUGGAUAUGACCUUUCUCCUUAUGGGGUUUGGUGGAAAGUUUUUCGGUGUAGGAUGAGCCCGCGGCCUAUCAGCUUGUUGGUGGGGUGAUGGCCUACCAAGGCACGACGGGUAGCCGGCCUGAGAGGGUGAUCGGCCACAUUGGGACUGAGAUACGGCCCAG